CGGCCGGCCGCAGGAGCCGGGUGCGCGCGCACGCGCACACGUGCGCAUUAGUGGUCAGCUCCGGGUGGUUUUCGCGGCACGUCUGCAGAGUGGGUGGAGGGGUGGGGGAAAUCAUCGAUCGCUGCAAGCAUGUAGAGUCCUCAGGAUACGAGAGGCCUGGUGCUGCGGCUUCCGCUCUCACACAUCAUCAAGCCUCGGUUGAGAUGGUUCGAAUUAAUGACACUUCUUCAGACAGACUGAGUAGAGGGCACGAUUUCUGUCUUCUUUACGACUGAGCGAAGCUCCAUCGUGAAUGUACAAUGUAACUCCUCCGCCUCUGGUCUGUGUGUGGGCAUCGUUUGACUGAGAAGCGCCCUCAUGGGCUCCUCAUUUGAACACUUGGUACCAGUCGGUGUAGCGGUGUUGGGAGGACAUGAAACCAUUAGGACACGGAGCCUUGUUGGAGGAAAUAUCUCACGGGGGACGGGCUUUGAGCGUUUGUGGCUGCAUCCCGUUUCCAUCCCACGCUCUUUGUUUCCUUCCUGUCAAUAGAGAUGUGAUUUCUCAGCUUCCUGGCCCGGCCACUUGCUGCCAUGCCUCCCUCACCAUCACUCUCUCUCUGGAACCAUAACCCCAAACAAGCUCUUCCUUCUGCAAGUUGCUUUUGGUCAUGAUGUUUCACCGCAGCAACAGGAAAAUCCUACAGCAUCUGCUUAGAGCUCUUGCUCAGCCAAAGAAGCAGUUGGGAGACAGCCAUGGUUUUCUAAAUAUUUACCCAGUGGGAGGUUUGUCUAGACUGUAAAGAACAGCAAAACAAAAGAACCCAAAAUUGAACUGUACAAGCGCAAAUAACCCAACAAGUGGGCAGUGGCCACGAGCAGACUUCCCAAAUGAACACAUACAAACAGCUGAUUAAAUACAUGGAGAACAUGUUCAACACCCUUAGCUACCUGGGAAAUGCAACACCGAGAGUCCAUCUGCCCCUGGCCUAACGGUGAAGUUCAGAAGAUAAAGAGCAUCACGUGCCGGGGAGGGUGCAGGGUUGGGGACAAGCCUUCGAACUCUACUGGCGGGCGUGUAAAUUAAUGCAGUUACCAUGCAGGCUGGCACAGAAACUCCCUCAGGAACCCGAGGAUAGAACUCCCAUACGAUCCAGCCGCACCGCGGGCUGUAUACAGGAAGGCGACCACGUUUGCCUCAGAGACGCCUAUUCACGUUGUUCCCAAUAGCUGAGCUACGGUAUCCGGUAUGAUACAACUUUACUCCGUCUCCGCUGUCAUCAUUUCUGGGAAUGAGCAGAGGAUAGGAGUGACCCUUCGCUCACAUCAUCACCAACACUGGUGUCAUGCUGGUGUUUGCUGAUCUGGUAGAUUACCUCUCUUGGUCCUGUGUCUGCCAAGUACACGACCCGUGCCUGUCUUUUCUCGUACUUGUCAGUCAUCUGUUUGGCUUUGCUUUGUGCUCAUCCAUGCCUGCACGGUUAUCUUCCAUGUAUUUGACAAAUAUACUACUCAACUUGCUAUUGUUAUAUUGAUUUUUGUGGUAGUUUUUACUUUGUAGAACUUCUUGUACAUUCAAAUGGUUAAACUUAUUAAAAAUUUAAACUAAAA